rnacentral:rRNA from 1 species
UACGUAGGGAGCGAGCGUUAUCCGGAUUUACUGGGUGUAAAGGGCGUGUAGGCGGGAUGGCAAGUCAGGCGUGAAAACUAUGGGCUCAACCCAUAGCCUGCGUUUGAAACUGUCAGUCUUGAGUACCGGAGAGGUCAUCGGAAUUCCUUGUGUAGCGGUGAAAUGCGUAGAUAUAAGGAAGAACACCAGUGGCGAAGGCGGAUGACUGGACGGCAACUGACGGUGAGGCGCGAAAGCGUGGGGAGCAAACAGG